GAACUUAGCUUAGUGGCGGACGGGUGAGUAACGCGUGAGUAACCUGCCUUUCAGAGGGGGAUAACGUUCCGAAAAGAACGCUAAUACCGCAUAAUAUAUUGGUGUCGCAUGGCACCGGUAUCAAAGGAGCAAUCCGCUGAAAGAUGGACCCGCGUCCGAUUAGCCAGUUGGCGGGGUAAAGGCCCACCAAAGCGACGAUCGGUAGCCGGGUUGAGAGACUGAACGGCCACAUUGGGACUGAGACACGGCCCAGACUCCUACGGGAGGCAGCAGUGGGGGAUAUUGCACAAUGGAGGAAACUCUGAUGCAGCAAUGCCGCGUGAGGGAAGACGGUCUUCGGAUUGUAAACCUCUGUCCUUGGUGAAGAUAAUGACGGUAGCCAAGGAGGAAGCUCCGGCUAACUACGUGCCAGCAGCCGCGGUAAUACGUAGGGAGCAAGCGUUGUCCGGAUUUACUGGGUGUAAAGGGUGCGUAGGCGGCUCUUUAAGUCGGGCGUGAAAGCUGUGGGCUUAACCCACAAAUUGCGUUCGAAACUGGAGGGCUUGAGUGAAGUAGAGGUAGGCGGAAUUCCCGGUGUAGCGGUGAAAUGCGUAGAGAUCGGGAGGAACACCAGUGGCGAAAGGNGGCCUACUNNCUUUAACUGACGCUGAGGCACGAAAGCAUGGGUAGCAAACAGGAUUAGAUACCCU
rnacentral:rRNA from 1 species